CGCUCCGGUACCGCGCGGGGCCUGCACGCGGCGGCAGUGGACGCCGGGACCAGGAGAGCGCGCGGCGCCGACCGACCGGGGUGCGGGCGUGGAAGGGAUGCCCAGAUGUCUGGCGCGGCUCCAGGACACAGAUGGAGCGAGGCAGAGUGGACGGCGGUGUCCGUAGAGGAGACGCAGCCCCGGAGAGGAAGAAGGAGGGGGAGACUGAGGGGCAGUGGGGUCACCCCCCAGCACUGGACCAGGCCCCAUGGCCCACGUGGACCUCUGUGACCCUCGAGGUGGAAGAGUGAAGCAGGGUACCCCUGGGGCACCCAGGACCUGGCCGAGCCCGGAGGCUGAGGCGGGGUGAGAAGUUGGCACAGCUGAGGUC